GGUGAGAUGGCCGAGCGGUCUAAGGCGCCAGACUAAGGAAAGACUAGGGUAUGAGAUCGCCCAAGUCAUCUGGUCUCUUCGGGGGCGCGAGUUCGAAUCUCGCUCUCAUCA